GUGAGUCAUCGAAUCUUUUGAACCGCACCUUGCGCCCUUUGGCCACCCCCAAAGGGCAUGCCUGUUUGAGUAUCAUGAACACCUCAACUCUUCAUGGUUUUCCAUGAUGAGCUUGGACUUUGGGGGUCUUGCUGGCCUUAUAAGUCAGCUCCUCUAAAAUGAAUCAGCUUGCCAGUGUUUGGUGGGCGUCACAGGUGUGAUAACUAUCUACGCUUGUGGUUUUCUACCAAAUAACCUUCAGUGAUGGAGGUUCGCUGGAGCUAAUAAAUGUCUCUCCUCAGUGAGGACAGCUUUUCAAAUGUUUGAUCUCAAAUCAGGUAGGACUACCCGCUGAACUUAAGCAUAUCAAUAAGCGGAGG
rnacentral:rRNA from 1 species